rnacentral:rRNA from 1 species
GAUGAACGCUGGCGGCGUGCCUAAUACAUGCAAGUCGAGCGAACAGAUGAGGAGCUUGCUCCUCUGACGUUAGCGGCGGACGGGUGAGUAACACGUGGAUAACCUACCUAUAAGACUGGGAUAACUUCGGGAAACCGGAGCUAAUACCGGAUAAUAUAUUGAACCGCAUGGUUCAAUAGUGAAAGACGGUUUUGCUGUCACUUAUAGAUGGAUCCGCGCCGCAUUAGCUAGUUGGUAAGGUAACGGCUUACCAAGGCAACGAUGCGUAGCCGACCUGAGAGGGUGAUCGGCCACACUGGAACUGGGACACGGUCCAUGCUCCUACGGGAGGCAGCAGUAGGGAAUCUUCCGCAAUGGGCGAAAGCCUGACGGAGCAACGCCGCGUGAGUGAUGAAGGUCUUCGGAUCGUAAAACUCUGUUAUUAGGGAAGAACAAAUGUGUAAGUAACUAUGCACGUCUUGAGGGUACCUAAUCAGAAAGCCACGGCUAACUACGUG